UCGAAUUAAUCAGUUAAAUAUGAGUUUUUUAAUCUUUAAACAUUAAAUCUCUUCGCAGUGAUAAUCAUCCAUAUGAGGUAUAUAUUUUAUAUAGCCAUCACCCAUGUUCUACAAAACUGAAUGAAAUAUAUACUUCAUAUGACAGUGCUUGCGAAAUAUAUGCUACAUGCAUUAUAUGGAACUGCUAUGCAAAUAGACACUACAUAUGAAUCCACUUUAGUAGAUCCCCUCAAAAAGAGAGGAUUGUUGUGGGAAUAGGGAAUUCGGACCUGCUGUGAAGUGUCGCUUUACACCUCGUCGUAAUUCAUCCCGGAGUGAUAUCUUGGAGUAUUUGAACAACCACUUUGUUUACCAUUCCAGAUGGCUAGAUGUUCUCAUCUUCCACAAUAGAAGAAGAAACAAUAAACAGUUAAAAAAUUACGAUGACGUAAAGAAUCGAGAGACACGCAGAUGGCGCGAUGAAGAGAGAAAAGGAAUGUGACCGAGGAAAGAACGGGGUGAAUGUCUUCCUCCUGGGAGAAAAAGUUCUUGGAAAAGGGAUGAAGGGGCAAAAAUUAGAGAGUCGGUCGUCAAACUCCGCGAGAGAGAGAAGGACAGUCAGAGUCGUCGGUUCUACCUAUUCCUUCUGGGCGGACGUCCUUUUUGUUCAACUUCCAAUCCUUCUACGAUUAGUUCAUAUGAUCCGGAAUCGUCCUGACCUUCAAGAAGCUACGACACGAUAGUAUAUUCUCCGUAUUUAUUUAUCUUCUGUGUUAACGGAUUAAAGACUGUGUUUUUUUUUUGGGACUAAAGACAGUUGUGUGCUGUGCGCUACCUCUAUUGGCUAUUUGAUAGGACGACUAUUGUCGCAUUCUUGUCUUUUACAGGUAUUUAUCCUCCAAAAACACUCUAGAUAAAUACAGUUUACACAAACCAUAAAUCUUUAUGGUUUGUGUAAACUGUAGUUGUCUUUAAUCACUGUGUCAGUAAUUUCGCUACUCAUUCGAUCAUACGCGCCUUUGUUACAAUUAAUCGCUUAGGCAAACGUUUGUAUAGUUCGCCCAGACGACAAUUAUAUGGAACUGUGGUGCGAAAUAGAUACUGCAUGCACUAUAUGGAACUGCUGUACGAAAUAUAUAUAUAGCCUAUGCAUUAUAUGGAACUGCCGUGCGAAAUAUAUAUAUGAAUUAUAUGGAACUGCUGUGCAAACAGAUUGGGGAAAGUGGGGGUAAACCCGGGUAGCUAAUGUUUAUCAAUGUUCUGAUGCUAAGUUAGAUUAUCAAAAUUAACAAAAACCGAAUAUAUAUUGUUGCUUAGACAUUUUAAAAUAUAACGGCACUAUCCAAAACACAUGAUAAUCACU
rnacentral:lncRNA from 1 species